rnacentral:lncRNA from 10 species
GUCUUUUCUGGCAGAUUACUUCUAUUUUCCACAGGUGUGGGCCCCAUUAGCUCUGGCCACCUGAGAAAGCCCUCAGGCAAAGAGUCGCAGGUGAAAGCCAGCAGUUAGAGGUUCACAGAAAUGAGUGCAGAAGCAUCUUCAGUUGGAGAGCCAUUGCCUCUUGCUGUGAAAUAUUUGGGAAUCUUCAGAAACCAUGAAGAAUAACCUGCUAAAGGGUUUUAUUUUGUCAGUCAAGCUGGAAUGCAGUGGCGUGAACAUUGCUUACUGCAGCUUCAAUCUCCUGAGGUCAAACAAUCUUCUCACCUCAGCCUCGCAAGCAGCUAGGACUACAGGCAUGUGCCACCACGCCCCACUAAUUUUUUAAUUUUUCUUUUGUGGAGACGCAGUCUUGUUAUCUUGAACAGGCUGGUCUUGAACUCUUGGAGUCAAGCAAUCCUUCUGCCUCAGACUCUCAAAGUGCUGGGAUUACAGGCAUGAGCCACCACAUUCAGCCAGGAAAAGUUUUUGUACAUUUAAAAAAUUAUAGGAUAUUUGUGUAUAUAGCUUUGCUGGUUUGACUUCCUAGAAUAGCUCCCAGGAACACAAAGUACUUAAUUGAUUAGUAUAAAAUGAUUAUGUCAUACUCACAUGUUGGUUUUCUAAAUGCACUUAAUUUUUCUGAUUAAGAACUGAAAACUAUGCUGACCAGGGACACUGUAGACCUGUGGCUCAUUUUUGCAUAAAGGUUAUGUGUUUAUUGUCUGAUUUGGUCAUGCCUAUAGGCCAAUAGUGUUUUAUUUUGAAAUGUUUCAAA